CCACAUUUUUAUACUUUAGUAUAACGUUCUAAACUUUUUCGCAUGCUUAUUUCAUUGCUCAAGCUAGUCAUGAUUACAAGACCAUACCAGGUACUUCAUUUCUCCACUCAUCCAGAAUAAGUUGAACAUCUAUAAUAUGACUUCUUUC
rnacentral:lncRNA from 1 species